rnacentral:rRNA from 1 species
ACUCCUACGGGAGGCAGCAGUGGGGAAUAUUGGACAAUGGGCGCAAGCCUGAUCCAGCCAUGCCGCGUGAGUGAUGAAGGCCCUAGGGUUGUAAAGCUCUUUCACCGGUGAAGAUAAUGACGGUAACCGGAGAAGAAGCCCCGGCUAACUUCGUGCCAGCAGCCGCGGUAAUACGAAGGGGGCUAGCGUUGUUCGGAUUUACUGGGCGUAAAGCGCACGUAGGCGGACUAUUAAGUCAGGGGUGAAAUCCCGGGGCUCAACCCCGGAACUGCCUUUGAUACUGGUAGUCUUGAGUUCGAGAGAGGUGAGUGGAAUUCCGAGUGUAGAGGUGAAAUCCGUAGAUAUUCGGAGGAACACCAGUGGCGAAGGCGGCUCACUGGCUCGAUACUGACGCUGAGGUGCGAAAGCGUGGGGAGCAAACAGGAUUAGAAACCCGUGUAGUCCCAUGA